rnacentral:rRNA from 1 species
GUGAACGCUGGCGGUAGGCCUAACACAUGCAAGUCGAACGGCAGCACAGUAAGAGCUUGCUCUUACGGGUGGCGAGUGGCGGACGGGUGAGGAAUACAUCGGAAUCUACUUUUUCGUGGGGGAUAACGUAGGGAAACUUACGCUAAUACCGCAUACGACCUACGGGUGAAAGCAGGGGAUCUUCGGACCUUGCGCGAUUGAAUGAGCCGAUGUCGGAUUAGCUAGUUGGCGGGGUAAAGGCCCACCAAGGCGACGAUCCGUAGCUGGUCUGAGAGGAUGAUCAGCCACACUGGAACUGAGACACGGUCCAGACUCCUACGGUAGGCAGCAGUGGGGAAUAUUGGACAAUGGGCGCAAGCCUGAUCCAGCCAUACCGCGUGGGUGAAGAAGGCCUUCGGGUUGUAAAGCCCUUUUGUUGGGAAAGAAAAGCAGCAGGUUAAUACCCCGCUGUUCUGACGGUACCCAAAGAAUAAGCACCGGCUAACUUCGUG